UACGUAGGGGGCAAGCGUUGUCCGGAAUCAUUGGGCGUAAAGCGCACGCAGGCGGUCUGUGAAGUUUGGAGUGACAGUUGGUGGCUCAACCACCAAAGUGCUUUGAAAACUGAUAGACUUGAGGGCUUCAGAGGGACACGGAAUUCCGGGUGGAGUGGUGAAAUGCGUAGAGAUCCGGAGGAACACCAAAGGCGAAGGCAGUGUCCUGGGGAGUACCUGACGCUCAGGUGCGAAAGCCAGGGGAGCGAACGGG
rnacentral:rRNA from 1 species